CCAGUCUACAAACUACAUCCAUGAGCUCAUUGCUUUUCUCAUGACCAAUAUCCAGUCUCAAAAUGAGGACAUCAUCAUGCCGUGCCUCGGCCUUAUGGCCAACUUGUGUCGAGACAACCACUCAGUGCAGAGCCACAUCAAGUCUCUGGACAACGUGAAGCGAUUC